ensembl:rRNA 5S_rRNA 5S ribosomal RNA
UUUGGCGGCCAUACCACCAUGACCACGCCCGAUCUCGGAAGCUAAGCAUGGUCGGGCCUGGCUAGUACUUGGAUGGGAGACCGCCUGGGAAUACCAGGUGCUGUAAGUG